ACGUCAAAUCAUCAUGCCCCUUAUGUUCUGGGCUACACACGUGCUACAAUGGCCGGUACAGACGGACGCAGAGCCGCGAGGUGGAGCAAAUCCUAAAAAGCCGGUCUCAGUUCGGAUUGCAGGCUGCAAUUCGCCUGCAUGAAGUCGGAAUCGCUAGUAAUCGCAGGUCAGCAUACUGCGGUGAAUACCGGUUCCCGGGCCUU
rnacentral:rRNA from 1 species